UACGAAGGACCCGAGCGUUAUCCGGAUUUAUUGGGUUUAAAGGGUGCGUAAGCGGACACGCAAGUCAGUGGUGAAAUCCCUCAGCUUAACUGAGGAACUGCCAUUGAAACUAUGUGUCUUGAGUACAUUUGAGGCGGGCGGAAUGUGUCAUGUAGAGGUGAAAUUCUUAGAUAUGACACAGAACACCAAUUGCGAAGGCAGCUCGCUAAACUGUAACUGACGCUGAGGCACGAAAGCGUGGGGAUCAAACAGG
rnacentral:rRNA from 1 species